rnacentral:rRNA from 1 species
UACGAAGGGGGCUAGCGUUGUUCGGAAUCACUGGGCGUAAAGCGCGCGUAGGCGGACCGUUAAGUCGGAGGUGAAAGCCUGGAGCUCAACUCCAGAACUGCCUUCGAUACUGGCGGUCUCGAGUCCGGUAGAGGUGAGUGGAACUGCUAGUGUAGAGGUGAAAUUCGUAGAUAUUAGCAAGAACACCAGUGGCGAAGGCGGCUCACUGGACCGGUACUGACGCUGAGGUGCGAAAGCGUGGGGAGCAAACAGG